GAGAUGAGAUGAACCUAAUAUAUAUAUGAUACCUCAGGCUUGAUCAUAUUGAAGAGGAUCUAAGAGGUCUAGAGAUGAGAUGAACCUAAAAUAUAUAUGGCACCUCAGGCUCGGUCAUAUUGAAGAGGAUAAGAUAAAUAGAGUGGAGAAAGAUGGACUUCUUGGCUCAUUAAAUAAUGUGUCAUAUUCAGCUUGUGAAUCCUAUUUUUUUAAAAAAAUGAUGAAACAAUCUUUUGUAGGAUA
rnacentral:lncRNA from 1 species